CACCGAAGUCAAGCACCAUUGGGCGCGGACAGUACUUGGGUGGGUGACCACCUGGGAACACCGCGUGCCGUU